rnacentral:rRNA from 1 species
GAUGAACGCUGGCGGCGUGCUUAACACAUGCAAGUCGAACGGAGUGCCUUAGAAAGAGGAUUCGUCCAAUUGAUAAGGUUACUUAGUGGCGGACGGGUGAGUAACGCGUGAGGAACCUGCCUCGGAGUGGGGAAUAACAGACCGAAAGGUCUGCUAAUACCGCAUGAUGCAGUUGGACCGCAUGGUCCUGACUGCCAAAGAUUUAUCGCUCUGAGAUGGCCUCGCGUCUGAUUAGCUUGUUGGCGGGGUAAUGGCCCACCAAGGCGACGAUCAGUAGCCGGACUGAGAGGUUGGCCGGCCACAUUGGGACUGAGACACGGCCCAGACUCCUACGGGAGGCAGCAGUGGGGAAUAUUGGGCAAUGGGCGCAAGCCUGACCCAGCAACGCCGCGUGAAGGAAGAAGGCUUUCGGGUUGUAAACUUCUUUUCUCAGGGACGAACAAAUGACGGUACCUGAGGAA